GACAGAGGGUGCAAACGUUGUUCGGAAUUACUGGGCGUAAAGCGCGUGUAGGCGGCUAAGUAAGUCGGGCGUGAAAUCCCACGGCUCAACCGUGGAAGUGCACUCGAAACUGCAUAGCUAGAGUCCUGGAGAGGAAGGUGGAAUGCUUGGUGUAGAGGUGAAAUUCGUAGAUAUCAAGCGGAACACCGGUGGCGAAGGCGGCCUUCUGGACAGUGACUGACGCUGAGACGCGGAAGCGUGGGGAGCAAACAGG
rnacentral:rRNA from 1 species